GUCUUUUAGAAUAUAAUUUUAAGUCUAACCUGCCCACUGAAUUUAUUUGAAGGGCCGCGGUAUUUUGACUGUGCAAAGGUAGCAUAAUCAUUAGUCUUUUAAUUGGAGGCUUGUAUGAAUGGUUGGAUGAAACAUUAACUGUCUCAAUUUAAUAAAAAUAGAAUUUAAUUUUUAAGUUAAAAAGCUUAAAUUAAAUUAGAGGACGAGAAGACCCUAUAGAUCUUUAUAAUUAAUUAUUUAUUAUUAAUUUAGUAAAUUAAUUUUUAUUAAUUAGUUAAUUAUUUUAUUGGGGUGAUAAAUAAAUUUAGUAAACUUUAUUUUAUGAAAACAUUUAUGUAUGAAUAUUUGAUCCAUUAUUAAUGAUUAAAAGAUUAAGUUACCUUAGGGAUAACAGCGUAAUUUUUUUAGAGAGUUCUAAUCGAUAAAAAAGUUUGCGACCUCGAUGUUGAAUUAAAGGUUAAUUUUAGGUGCAGAAGUUUAAAGUUUUGGUCUGUUCGACCAUUAAAUC
rnacentral:rRNA from 1 species